rnacentral:rRNA from 1 species
AACAAACGCUGGCGGCGUGCCUAAUACAUGCAAGUCGAACGAGGAAUUACCUUCGGGUAUAGUACUAGUGGCGCACGGGAGAGGAUCACGUAGGUAAUCUGCCCUGGGGCGGGGAACAACCAGUCGAAAGAUUGGCUAAUACCCCGUAAGACCACGAUCACUAAUGUGAAUGUGGUAAAAGAUUUAUCGCCCCAGGAUGAGCCUACGCCCCAUUAGCUUGAUGGUAGGGUAACGGCCUACCAUGGCUACGAUGGGUAACUGGUCUGAGAGGAUGAUCAGUCUCACUGGAACUGAGACACGGUCCAG